AGGCGGGUAAGGUCGGGGCCUACUAUGCCCCCCUCCGUCCGAAACGAUGAGGCCUCCUUGAGGAGGGUGGGAUGGAGUAGGACGGGGCCGCCG
rnacentral:sRNA from 23 species